AUUGUUGAGGGCUUAUCUUUGAUCAGACUGACUCUUCAGCCUCAGAUAAUGGCAGCCAGGAGUGGUAAUCAUGAUGAUGAUGAUGUUGAUGAUAAGCAUUGGCUAAUAACAGGUCACAGUUGUUCUGAAAAGAGACCUGAGACCAGAGACCUGCCUGAGCUCGAAAGCUUGCCUGCAGCCAAGGACUGAUGUGGGGUGUGAAUGUCCAGCCCCCACGCCACAAAUCAGGAGAAGAAAGUAUGGUCCCCCACACAAAGAAUCAUAACUUGAACACUUGAUUUGUAUUUCAGCUGAUUUUCAUCUUACUGGUGAAAAGAGUUCAUUGGUAGACUCAAGCACAGAAAUCCAGCCUCUAUGCCUAGCCAUAAAAUCACAGGAUUAGUGGCCGGGCGCGGGGGCUCACGCCUGUAAUCCCAGCACUUUGGGAGGCCGAGGCGGGUGGAUCACGAGAUCAGGAAAUCGAGACCAUCCUGGCUAACACGGUGAAACCCGUCUCUACUAAAAAUACAAAACAUUAGCCAGCGUGGUGGUGGCGGGUGCCUGUGGUCCCAGCUGCUCGGGAGGCAGAGCUUGCAGUGAACGGAGAUCGUGCCACUGCACUCCAGCAUGGGCGACAGAGCGAGACUCCGUCUCAAAAAAAAAAAAAAAAAAUCACAGGAUUAGUAUAUCUACACUACAUGGGUAGAAAUAUCCUUUAACAUGUAGCUACUUUGGGGUAAAACCCACUCUCCCUAAACUGUGAUUCACUUUUCAGCUUCAACCCUCAUUCUGAUUUUCCACUGCCACCUUGUGUAGACAGGUCCUCAGAAAGCAAUUGAGGCCAUGAUGCUUCCUUGUGCCGCCAACCCAAUGGGCAACAUAUCUCCUGCUGCUCUCUCAGCCACUUCCAGAGCAGUGAGAAAGGUUCAGGGAUUCUGCAAGUCGGCAAACACGGCUGCAACUGCCUGCUGGACCCGGAAAAGUGACAGGCACAGAAUUAGGAAAGGACUUGGUGAACUGACCAAAUUCUACAGUGUCAAAUCCGGCUGGUUAAGAUCAGACAGAAUCAACCUAUUUUCAUGACAGAAAAAAAAGAA
rnacentral:lncRNA from 10 species